UGUGCGGCGGGUCCGGGCCGGUGGUAGCGAGGGGGCUCCGGUGCCGGGAGCCUCCUCCUCGGUCCCCCGGGGCUGCCGCUCGGCGUUGGGGGCUGUGGGAAGCGCGUUCGUGGGGUGCCGGCACCGUGCUCCCUGACAGAGCUGCUCUGCUCCAAGCCGCAGGGACGGUUCACCUCAGGCCGUCUGCCUUUAACACGGAAAAUCGCUGCUUUUCUUAAAAUAAGCCAUCUCAGAGCUUCCCGAGAAUAUGUAGCUAUGAAAACAAAAGUCAGGAACCCGACGCGAUUUGUUCCGAGCAGCUGAGGGUGCAGGAAAUCCCCAUCCUGGGAUGCGUGAGGCCAGCCGGCUGGUGCCUGCGCUGGGAUCGCCGCAGACCUUGCCUGCGCCUUCAUCUGCGAGGAGGGGAAAUUGCAGGGGAAACUGCACCUUUUUGCAGGGGAAACGCAAUCCGGGGUUGGUGUGAACACGGCAUGUCACACCUUUCCUACUCCUGACACCACCCGGUGUUGAAGCAACCUCUGGAGUCUGCCUUUGACUCCCCAGUCUAUUUGGCUUCUGCUCACCUUUGUUGUUCCAGCAUCAAGAUCUUGGGAGAAGUCAGCUGUUGUUAAACAAUCUUACUUAAAUUAACAGAACAAGAUAGCAUGGGAGGGGCCUCUGUAUGUUGUCUACUCCAAAACAGGGGGAGGACCAUGCUCACAUAUUUGCUGCAGUUAUUUCCCACCUCCUCGGUGACGCCGCUGUGCCAGGAGAACAUCAGUUCAAUCAACAACAAUUUUAAUUUGCCAAUUUCUAAGCUUCACUCAUACAGAGGACCCAAGGAUGGCAGCUUCUUCACCCCACCGCACUCACCACAGCACAGACACUGCUAUUCUUGAUAUACAGGAGCUUGAUUCAUUCUCUGCAUGGAAGAGGAUUUCUUCUACAAGUUUCUUUCCUUUUUAAAGGCCAGGAGGGGUUGUCCUGUUCCCUCAACAGGUCUUUGUGAAGGCAAAGGAUGACUACCAGGUGACAUGGUUGCUAUCUGUCCCCAGAGACAUCCACAAAAAGUGAAGGCAGGGCUUGUGGCUGGGUUGGGCUUAAACACACAGCAGUAAUAACACAGGGCUAAUAAUAGUAUUUUAGCUGAGUGCUAAAACACAGGAAAGCUGUUUUUAACUGAGUGUGGCAUGGUAUUUUUGAAACAGGAAGGAUGUUUGAUGUAAAUUUUGUGAGAAUAAUUCAUAUUUGAUAUGUACAUGAAUACAGAUGUAAUUUGGAUGGAACGCACAGGACGUUUAGAAAUGGAAAUCUCAUUAUCCUAGCAGUAAUUCAGGACUAUCAGAGCGAAGCUUAUGAUUUUUAAUCAGUAAGACGGUAUUAGCAUAUCAGAGUUAAUUGCAAUAAAGUAAAAGAUGCUGAUUAAAGAACAUUUUUCUCCACGUAAGAGUUUCUAAAUCCUAUAUGCAACAGCACCAGUGGGCCAAAUCUAGCCUCUGAUUUGUUGAACCCUUCACCUUGCUGAGACAAGGAGAGAAAAGGUGUUUUUGCUUCCUGUCAGGCUGGCCCUGUACAGCAGAGCGAGGAGUACAGGCUGCCCUUCGCACUCACUUGGCUUCCUGGGCCUGUCAGUGGGGCUUGGCAACACGCAAGCAUCCUUUCACAGAGGUCAGUUUGCAAGGCCAAGCUUUUACGUGUGUAAAAACACCUCAUGCAAGAGAAUUAGCAAUCACUGCAGCAAUGAAAUAAGCACCUAGACAGGAAGCUUUAAAAAGUCAGCUUUCUGGUUUUUUUUUGUUUGUUUGUUUGUUUGUUUUGGUUUGUUUUUUUUUUGUAGAUACAGCUCUACCAUUUGCUGGAGCAGAGCACAGAGCAUCCCCGCUGCACAGACCUGUGUUCAUUGGGGUAGGAACCCAUCACUUGUGGUGUAAGCCCAAAUGCAGUCUUUGCUGUGUUACGUAUAAAGGGAAAAACACCAUGAUACAGACGUUCUGAUUAUUGAAACUCCUUUUCAUUACCUUUGGAGCUAGGAGGACAGAGGCUAAAACUGUGGGUGAAAAUGCACAUCUCUUCCUGAUAAUGUGACAAAACCCCAGGUGCAAGAAACAGAAAGGCUCAGCCCUGCUGUUAGAGGGAUGCGCUGAGUCCCCAGGGCAUCUCGCGUAUUUCUUCCGUACUGAGCUGCAGAAAUAGUGACACCUAGCAGGGCAGCAGCCAGCUGCAAGGGCAAGGGAUGGAGCAGCCACAGGGCUGUAAAACUGAGACCAGUGCUGUCCGUCCAAGCAUCCUCCUUUUCAAAUCCACAAUGUCACAAGCUUAAAUUUGCAACAAGUUCUGCUUGAGGAGUUACCACAGAGUAUUUUUGAUAGGCGCAUUUGCAAAAAGCAUCAUUAGAGUUUAUCCUUUGUAAAGAUACAUUGCUACAGGCCAUGUGCUGCAGUCAGGACAGUAUUGCUUAUAUCCCUGCAAAAUGUCCAGGGAUCAAACAGUUUGUUCUAGAUUAUUAUUUAAGAUUUGGACCAGGAUCAUGCAUGAAACAGUCUCUUUUAUAGAAUCACAGUGUCAGCAAAGUGCUGGAGCUCAUGGGGUCUCUACUCCACGUCCUGCUCACAGGAGUUAGCUCCAGCCCUGACCUGCUUGGCAUCAGCAAACAAAGCCAAGGACAUAUAUUUCUGUUGGAAAAUGUUGCAACUUUCCCCUUAUAUAUGGCGCACUUGUUUUUUCCCUUACAAAGGCACUUCUCUGGCUUAUUUUAAAACCCACUGAUCCUGAGAUGUCAACAGCUUUAUUAUCUCCAUGCCUGGGGGCCAUUCCUGCAACAAGUGUGACGGAGAACAGCUAAGUGCUGGAAUUCAGAGAGCCAAGUUCACAGUUGCAAAAAUUUCCUUCCAAACCAUGUACCAAUAAAAGCACAUCUUUUCCUUGCCCUGGAUAGGAAGCCUCAGUAGGAGCUCAAUGUGUUGUUUUGUUUCUUUUGAUGUUUUUUGAAGCCUUUCUUGGAUACUGUCUGAGCUGGUCUCUGUGUUUUCCUCUGCCCGGCACUCAGACUUCAGACCCGGUGCUCAUCCACAUCUGAGGAUGCAGCUGCCACUGCGAUGGCGUGCCCCAGCACCACUCCUUACCAUUGGGAUCAAAGAGGUCUCAAAAUAAAUCUGUGUAUUGAACUGUCAUCUGUCCUGAAGCUGUCCUUUGGGAAGUUUGGCGGAUUCUGGCCUGGCACUCCUGCGAGGUCCCCAUGCCACAGUGCUCUCUCUCAGCCGACUCACCUGAUUCAUCUCCUCUGAAAAUGUGGCUCAGAAUUGUAAUACUUCUGGCAAUGACAAAGUAUUUUUCAGUGUUGGUCUGCUUUGCUGAUGCCUUCAGUUCAAGUACAAGGACUUCAGUACCAGUUCUGUCAUCAGGGAUCUAGCUGCCCUUAGCUAUUUCGAGAAAAUGGCUUAGAACAGAUCCUUUUCUCCUCCCCUUCGAAAACAGAACUGUGUAUGGGUAAGAUAGCCAUUUCCAUGGAGAACAAAGAACAAACUGAAGCAAUUCUGUUGACUCCUAAUGUCUCCUUUCUGUCUCCAGAAAUAGCUCACAUUUUUGUUUCCAAAUCAAUUGAGAAAGGGUAAUUGGAAAUAGGAAAUGGCAAUUUGUCAUUCCUGGGUGACACAAGCGUGUCUAGUUUGUGCAGGAAUGGCCAUACAGCGCCAGACGUGAAGUCUCAUACGUCUACACCAGUGUAAAACUGCUGCAGUGAGACUUUCCCAGCACCAUGCACAGUCCUGCAGGGCUUCUCUGUGUCUCAGGUUCUCUUUGUGCUUAACAGCCCAUGAUUAUUUUCAUCUAAAAAUAACACGCUCUAAGGUCCUGGAAGAAUUAAGCAGCUUUCCCGUGCCAAGAAGAAGUGCUGACUUUCUGUGUCAGUUCAAAGUUAUUCUUGGUAGUGAAUUAGCCCUUGUUCAGACCACACGUACUUUAAUGGGCUCCUUGACUCUACCUGCCUUGCUCACAGCAGCUUCAGGAGCCAAGUGCCAAUAUCCACACAGGAGUCAAAUGCUGCAGGGCAGACUGCUUUCAUUUGGGAAAUAAAGCCUGUCAGUGCUGCAGUUAUCCAAGAGGAGGUCUCUAACACCAGCUGACAUCAUCAAAGCUUUUGCAAAGUGUGUUUUCCUUACACAGAAUACGUGGGGGCUUAAAAUCACUAUUAUAGUAAUGUGAUAGUUUCAAAUUCAAAAAUCAUUUCUCCACAUUAAAUAAACUAGUAAGAAAAUACUUGUGCAUUAGCGGGAAAAUUUAUGAUGGCUACAGAAGCUACAAAAGCAUACUGAGGCUGCCAGCUUUGGUGUGACCAGAAGAGCC